GAUGAACGCUAGCGGCAGGCCUAACACAUGCAAGUCGAGGGGCAUCGCGGUGCAGCAAUGCACUGGCGGCGACCGGCGUACGGGUGCGUAACGCGUAUGCAACCUGCCCCGCACCGGGGGAUAGCCCGCCGAAAGGCGGAUUAAUACCCCAUGGUCCCGGGGGCCCGCAUGGGCAUCCGGGUAAAGCCUUGGCGGUGCGGGAUGGGCAUGCGUGCCAUUAGCUGGCUGGUGGGGUAACGGCCCACCAGGGGCAACGAUGGCUAGGGGGUCUGAGAGGAUGGUCCCCCACACUGGUACUGAGACACGGACCAGACUCCUACGGGAGGCAGCAGUGAGGAAUAUUGGUCAAUGGGCGGAAGCCUGAACCAGCCAUGCCGCGUGCGGGAUGAAGGCCCUACGGGUUGUAAACCGCUUUUCCCCGGGAAGAAUAACCCCGAUGAGUCGGGGGAUGCCGGUACCGGGGGAAUAAGGAUCGGCUAACUCCGUG
rnacentral:rRNA from 1 species